UACGGGGGGAGCAAGCGUUGUUCGGAUUUACUGGGCGUAAAGGGCGCGUAGGCGGUCAGCACAAGUCAGUUGUGAAAUCUCCGGGCUUAACUCGGAAAGGUCAACUGAUACUGUGCGACUAGAGUGCAGAAGGGGCAACUGGAAUUCUCGGUGUAGCGGUGAAAUGCGUAGAUAUCGAGAGGAACACCGGUGGCGAAGGCGGGUCUCUGGGCAUUUCCUGACGCUGAGGCGCGAAAGCGUGGGGAGCAAACGGG
rnacentral:rRNA from 1 species